rnacentral:tRNA from 1 species
GGGGGCGUAUUCCAACGGCAGAGAAAGAGGACUUAAAAUCCUUAAAGUGUGGGUUCGAAUCCCACCGCCCCUACCA